AUGCGAAAAAUAGGGAUAGAUGGAAGUGAUGAUAUGAAGAGCGGCGAUUUGAAUAAUCGGAAAGGACCACCGGAGUUCUUCGGAGUGCGAGACGAAGCCGCUGUGACGGAAUUGAAGGAGUUUGAGGCAGAAUUAAUGGAGCUACAAGGUGUGACUCGCAAAGUUCAAAGAUGUUUGAUACUGAGAUUGGAAAUGAACGGGGCGAUCUACCAGAAAAGGCGAAGUGAUGUUGACGUGGAGGAGAUCGUCGCCGUUGUUGGUUUCAGAGAAGAGGAACGAAGACGGAAGGAAGAAAUAUUUUGUGCGAAGAAGUUCAGUCGCCACAAAUUAUAA